GGGGAAUCUUGCGCAAUGCGCGAAAGCGUGACGCAGCAACGCCGCGUGGGGGAAGACGGCCUUCGGGUUGUAAACCCCUUUCAGUUGGGACGAAGGUCGGGCGGUUAACAGCCGUUCCGGCUGACGGUACCUUCACAAGCAGCCCCGGCUAACUACGUGCCAGCAGCCGCGGUAAUACGUAGGGGGCAAGCGUUGUCCGGAAUCAUUGGGCGUAAAGAGCGUGUAGGCGGCCCGGUAAGUCCGCUGUGAAAGUCAGGGGCUCAACCCUUGAAUGCCGGCGGAUACUGUCGGGCUAGAGUCCGGAAGAGGCGAGUGGAAUUCCUGGUGUAGCGGUGAAAUGCGCAGAUAUCAGGAGGAACACCUACGGCGAAGGCAGCUCGCUGGGACGGUACUGACGCUGAGACGCGAAAGCGUGGGGAGCAAAC
rnacentral:rRNA from 1 species